ACCAUAGAAGAAGUUGUUCUAUAGCGCAAUCGCUGGAAAAAAUGACCUCCCCCCAAAAUAGAAUGAAAAGCAGAGAUAAAUCAACCGAGAAAGAGGACAUGGGAUUUGGAGACAAAGUGUUUUGACGACGCGUUGUCAAGGUGGCAUAUAUUUCUACAGGUCGCAGAAACGAGACUGGAAAAAUAUCAGCACAAAUGUGAUGAGUUGGAGGUGCAACAACAAGGACUUCUCCUCUCAGUCUUUUACUGUUGAGAAGGACAGGGGGCUCUAUUUAAAGUGCUCGCUGGCCCAGAAGGAGGAUGAGCUCACAGACCUGUCAGAGCAACUGGGGGGACUGCAGCUCCGUCAACUCCGCCAAGAGUUGCAGGAGAACAAGGACAAGCUCACCUUUGAGAACAUGGUUCUUGCGGGUAAGCCGGAAGCGCCGGAGGAGUCCCGUGUGCAGAAGGAGGAGCUGAUGGCCCGCCUGGAGGAGCAGCUCGGGAAGUAGAGACAGGAGCAUCACACAGUCAACUACAGCCUAGAGAGGAAGGCCAUACUGGACAGCGACAGGUCAAUGCCAUAGAGACACUGAGUGUACAAAACAUUAAGAACACCUGCUCUUUCCAUGACAGACUGACCAGGUGAAUCCAGGUGAAAGUUAUGAUCCCUUAUUGAUGUCAUUUGUUAAAUCCAGGGGAACCCUGCUCUAGACUAAGGGAUGCAGUAGCAAGUGGCAGCUGAGUUCCGGCGCAUGUCGGACAGGAAUAUGCCAGAGACGACCAUAAUGUAUCUGUGACAGCCCAGCUCAGCCGGCUGUCGGACAAGAGCAAGCAGCUGCCAGAGAAGAACAAGGACCUGAAGGAGAGAGAGAAACUGAUCUGCAGAGAGCUGGAGACCCUGGAGCCCCCGUUCAACAAGAUGACCCGCAAGAGCCUCGGCAACCAGAGGGGGGCAGGAGCAGGCCUCAGUGUUGGAGGAGCUGGGCCUAGGCAGACAGGCUGGGAAGAGAGCUGGAGGAGGAGAGGGACGUGAGAGGACCGCUGGAGACCAUCUAACAGGCAGCUGCCUUCACCCUCAAACUUGUCCUCAAGAAAAAUAAGUGAUGGGAAUGAAAAUUAUAGCAGUGUAAGCAUUGCGUUUAUGUAGAUAAUCGUCUAUGGAACCAGAUGAUGCAGAAGCUGUUGACUGUGUUGGACAGUGCUGCUCUGAUGGCAAAAUGGCCUGCCAUGAAGGACUUCAACCCAGAGGGAGACUCCCUCCACAAGUUCAAGAUCGGCCCUGGCCCAGAGAGGCCACCACACACCUGUGUCACUUCAAGACAGGAGUCAUGGGCCUUAAACCGUGUUGUACGCCCAACUACAACCACAUCCUGUCCAAGAUGGGACCCCUCUCCAAGAGCACCUGCCUUCAACUUCAUAGCCUGGAAACCCCCACCGCCCUAGAAGAGGACUAGUCCGUCCAAACCCCUCUGGUCCAGAGUGGCUCCUCUGCUGGGUGACCCUCCCAGAGGGAGUCUGUUUACCCCCCACAGACCCACCCCAAUCAGGGGUAGCCCCGCUGAACCCAUCCUGAGAGAGGCAGGACUGGGCUUCAAACCCCUUUUUUAAUGGGACAUUUUCAACAGAAAAUAAAUAGUGCUACUUGGUUAUGCAAAAAAAAUGUCACUUAUACAUUUUAUUUUUCAGCCACUAGGUGGCAGCAACUAUACUUAGAAUAUGUUCUACUGAGUCUGACAAAGAUCUGCCACUAAACAGUUUUCUAGAGAAAGCAAUCAAAAGUUAUUUUGUUUUGAGUUAUUUAAAGAAUGUAGCCAAAAAAAUAAACAUCAGAAAUGUGUACUCAAAAGAUGAAGACCUACUGUAGCACAGCCAUUGUCCACAUACUAAAUCCAAUAUGUAGUUCAUGAAGUAAUAAACAGCCAGUGCUUGAGAAGAAAAUACUUACUGAACUAUAUACUAGGUUCAAUGGUUGUUGUGGGGACAGAAUGUGGUCUGUUGUACUGAAUAUCUUCACAGCUCCCAAGUGGCGCAGCGGUCUAAGGCACUGCAUCUCAGUGCUAGAGGUGUCACUGCAGACCCUGGUUCGUAUCCAGGCUGUAUUACAACCGGCCAUGAUUGGGAGUCCCUUAGGGCAGUGCAUAAUUGGCCCAGCGUCGUCCGGGUUUGGCUGGUGUAGGCCGUCAUUGUAAAUAAGAAUUUGUUCUUAACUGACUUGCCUAGUUAAAUAAAAUAAACAACUGUAAGUACAUAAAGUGGUAUUUGACAUUGUCAUGGUCUCCAUAAUGCAAAGUCUGAGGAUUUUUUUAAAAGUGACACUACGGGACCCCAGAUGAUGUGAAAUAAUGGUGCUUGUUUUCUGACAAUGUUCACAUCUUUAUCGUAUUAAAGCUUUGUGACUGGAUGCAUGUGAAGAAGGGAUUGUGGAUGGGGGACAUUUCAAUAUUAUCUUUUUGUGAGCCUAUUGCUAACCUUUUGUCACUACUACCCUGUUUUUCACUGUCUUAAUUGAAAGCUAUUUUCUUGAUGCCUUUACCCAUCAAAGCUAGUUGAAAAUAUCUCCCUAAAUGAAUCAGUGUCUGAUUUAUAGGGACAUGUCUUCUCAUAGACUAUCAAAAGAUAUCAGACAGUAACUCCCUUUUAUUGGUGUGAUUUAUCACUUUCCUCUCUGCAGUAAUUCUCAGGUGAAUGUACUUGUCUUCUCAACCCCUGAAAAUAGAUUAUUUAUCUCUUUAAGUGUGCCAAUGAGGUUUUGCGAAUCCACUGUAGAGGUUUCUGUGCUGGAUCCACCCCUUGCCCCGGCUAUUAAAAUGGAUCCUGAAAAGUUAAACAUAUUGGCACAUUGUGCUUCUUGGAGCCGCCUAGGUGCAACUAGAGCUUGAAGGAAAAC